rnacentral:rRNA from 1 species
CCUACGGGAGGCAGCAGUGGGGAAUAUUGCACAAUGGGGGAAACCCUGAUGCAGCGACGCCGCGUGAGCGAAGAAGUCUUUCUGUAUGUAAAGCUCUAUCAGCAGGGAAGAAAAUGACGGUACCUGAGUAAGAAUCUCCGGCUCAAUACGUGCCAGCAGCCGCGGUAAUACGUAUGGAGCCAGCGUUAUCCGGAUUUACUGGGGGUAAAGGGGGCGUAGGCGGGCUGCCAAGUCUGAUGUGAAAUACCGGGGCUCAACCCCGGGGCUGCAGUGGAAACUGGCAGGCUGGAGUGGCGGAGAGGCAGGCGGAAUGCGUAGUGUAGCGGUGAAAUGCGUAGAUAUUAGGAGGAACACCAGUGGCGAAGGCGGCCUGCUGGAGGGUGACUGACGCUGAGGCUCGAAAGCGUGGGGAGCAAACAGGAUUAGAUACCCCAGUAGUC